UACGGAGGGGGCUAGCGUUGUCCGAAGUUACUGGGCGUAAAGCGCGCGUAGGCGGGUUGGUAAGUCCGCUGUGAAAGCCCGGAGCUUAACUCCGGAGGGUCGGUGGAUACUGCCAGUCUUGAAGGUGCUAGGGGGAGAUGGAAUUACCGGUGUAGCGGUGAAAUGCGUAGAUAUUGGGAGGAACACCGGUGGCGAAGGCGGCGUUCUGGACUGCAACUGACACUGAGAGACGAAAGCCAGGGGAGCAAACGGG
rnacentral:rRNA from 1 species